UUUUUCUGUUUUGUGACCGGGCAGCGGAACCCCGACUAACUCUUCGUAGUGCAAUCGGUCGCCGAAAUUUAAUUUGGUUUUAAUUAAUUACAAGAAUUAAAAAUAAUAAUAAUAAUAAUGUGUUUAUUAUUAUUGUCUUGUGGUGAUCGGUUAUGGCCUUAGUUUUCCUUUAUUUUGUUUUGGGAUUUUAAAAUACGACCUGUGUGUCGUGCCUUUCUUUUAAUCUCUUAAUGUAACUUCUUUUCUCAUCUCG
rnacentral:lncRNA from 1 species